rnacentral:rRNA from 1 species
UUAGUGGCGAACGGGUGAGUAACACGUGGGCAAUCUGCCCUUCACUCUGGGACAAGCCCUGGAAACGGGGUCUAAUACCGGAUAACACUCUGUCCUGCAUGGGACGGGGUUGAAAGCUCCGGCGGUGAAGGAUGAGCCCGCGGCCUAUCAGCUUGUUGGUGGGGUAAUGGCCUACCAAGGCGACGACGGGUAGCCGGCCUGAGAGGGCGACCGGCCACACUGGGACUGAGACACGGCCCAGACUCCUACGGGAGGCAGCAGUGGGGAAUAUUGCACAAUGGGCGAAAGCCUGAUGCAGCGACGCCGCGUGAGGGAUGACGGCCUUCGGGUUGUAAACCUCUUUCAGCAGGGAAGAAGCGCAAGUGACGGUACCUGCAGAAGAAGCGCCGGCUAACUACGUGCCAGCAGCCGCGGUAAUACGUAGGGCGCAAGCGUUGUCCGGAAUUAUUGGGCGUAAAGAGCUCGUAGGCGGCUUGUCACGUCGGAUGUGAAAGCCCGGGGCUUAACCCCGGGUCUGCAUUCGAUACGGGCUAGCUAGAGUGUGGUAGGGGAGAUCGGAAUUCCUGGUGUAGCGGUGAAAUGCGCAGAUAUCAGGAGGAACACCGGUGGCGAAGGCGGAUCUCUGGGCCAUUACUGACGCUGAGGAGCGAAAGCGUGGGGAGCGAACAGGAUUAGAUACCCUGGUAGUCCACGCCGUAAACGUUGGGAACUAGGUGUUGGCGACAUUCCACGUCGUCGGUGCCGC